rnacentral:rRNA from 1 species
AGAGUUUGAUCAUGGCUCAGGAUGAACGCUAGCGGCAGGCUUAAUACAUGCAAGUCGAGGGGCAGCACGGGUAGCAAUACCUGGUGGCGACCGGCGAACGGGUGCGUAACACGUAUGCAACUUACCUUAAACUGGGGCAUAACGCUGAGAAAUCGGUGCUAAUUCCCCAUAACACCACGAAACGGCAUCGUUUUGUGAUUAAAGCUCCGGCGGUUUAAGAUGGGCAUGCGCGACAUUAGGUAGUUGGUAAGGUAACGGCUUACCAAGCCUACGAUGUCUAGGGGUUCUGAGAGGAUUAUCCCCCACACUGGUACUGAGACACGGACCAGACUCCUACGGGAGGCAGCAGUAGGGAAUAUUGGGCAAUGGACGCAAGUCUGACCCAGCCAUGCCGCGUGCAGGAUGAAGGCCCUAGUGGUUGUAAACUGCUUUUGUACGGGAAAAAACCCCCCGACGUGUCGGGGGUUGAUGGUACUGUAAGAAUAAGGAUCGGCUAACUCCGUGCCAGCAGCCGCGGUAAUACGGAGGAUCCAAGCGUUAUCCGGAUUUAUUGGGUUUAAAGGGUGCGUAGGCGGAUUUGUAAGUCAGUGGUGAAAUCCUACAGCUUAACUGUAGAACUGCCAUAGAUACUGCAAGUCUUGAGUACAGUUGGCGUGGAUGGAACGUGUCAUGUAGCGGUGAAAUGCUUAGAUAUGACACAGAACACCGAUCGCGAAGGCAGUUCACGAAACUGUAACUGACGCUGAGGCACGAAGGCGUGGGGAUCAAACAGGAUUAGAUACCCUGGUAGUCC